AUAAGAUUUUAAUUGAAUGCUAAGAGAAUGGAAGUCCAGAAAAAAACUUUUUUUAAAUUAAAAAUUGAAGUUUUUUUAAUUUGUGCAGAAACAAUUAUUUAUAUUAAAGACAAGAAGACCCUAUGAAUUUAUUAAAUUUUUAUUUAAUAUGUAAUUACUAUUAGAAAAAUUUUGGCUGGGGCGGCUAGAAAAUAUUAUGAACUUUUUAAAAAUAAAAUGAUCCAUUAUUAAUGAUUUUAUGUUAAAUACUCUAGGG
rnacentral:rRNA from 1 species